UGCUUAUUUGUGACUGAAUUGCCCUCCGC
rnacentral:piRNA from 1 species